ACUCAAAGGAAUUGACGGGGGCCCGCACAAGCGGUGGAGCAUGUGGUUUAAUUCGAUGCUACGCGAAAAACCUUACCUGGACUUGACAUGCCACGCUAUCCUAAGAAAUUAGGAGUUCCCUUACGGGACGUGGACACAGGUGCUGCAUGGCUGUCGUCAGCUCGUGUUGUGAGAUGUUGGGUUAAGUCCCGCAACGAGCGCAACCCUCGUCGUUAGUUACCAUCAUUAAGUUGGGCACUCUAACGAGACCGCUAGGCUAUAAGCCAGAGGAAGGUGGGGAUGACGUCAAGUCCUCAUGGCCUUUAUGUCCAGGGCUACACACGUGCUACAAUACAGAGUACAAAGCGCAGCUACUUUGCGAAAAGAUGCUAAUCGCAAAAAACUCUGUUCAGUUCGGAUUGGAGUCUGCAACUCGACUCCAUGAAGCUGGAAUCGCUAGUAAUCGCGGAUCAGCACGCCGCGGUGAAUACGUUCCCGGGCCUUGUACACACCGCCCGU
rnacentral:rRNA from 1 species